GGAAAAAUUUCCAACGUUGAAGAGAUUGUUAAUGCUGAAAACAAUGAUGGUAGAACUGCUCUUCAUUUGGCUGUCAUUGGAAAUAUUCAUUCUGAACUUGUGGAGUUACUUAUGACUGUCCGAUAUAUUAACGUCAAUACUCGUGAUAAGGAUGGAAUGACACCACUUGAUAUCCUGAAGCAACGGCCACGUUCUGCUUCAUCAGAGCUACUUACAAAGCAGUUGAUAUCU
rnacentral:misc_RNA from 1 species